UACGAAGGGGGCUAGCGUUGUUCGGAAUUACUGGGCGUAAAGCGCACGUAGGCGGAUACUUAAGUCAGGGGUGAAAUCCCGGGGCUCAACCCCGGAACUGCCUUUGAUACUGGGUAUCUCGAGUCCGGAAGAGGUGAGUGGAAUUCCGAGUGUAGAGGUGAAAUUCGUAGAUAUUCGGAGGAACACCGGUGGCGAAGGCGGUUCUCUGGGCCUGUACUGACGCUGAGGAGCGAAAGCGUGGGGAGCGAACAGG
rnacentral:rRNA from 1 species